rnacentral:rRNA from 1 species
AGCGAACGCUGGCGGCAGGCCUAAUACAUGCAAGUCGAGCGGGUCCUUCGGGAUUAGCGGCGGACGGGUGAGUAACGCGUGGGAACGUGCCCUUUGGUACGGGAACAACUGAGGGAAACUUCAGCUAAUACCGUAUGUGCCCUUCGGGGAAAGAUUUAUCGCCAUUGGAGCGGCCCGCGUUGGAUUAGGUAGUUGGUGAGGUAAAGGCUCACCAAGCCUACGAUCCAUAGCUGGUCUGAGAGGAUGACCAGCCACACUGGGACUGAGACACGGCCCAGACUCCUACGGGAGGCAGCAGUAGGGAAUCUUGCGCAAUGGGCGAAAGCCUGACGCAGCCAUGCCGCGUGAAUGAUGAAGGU